ensembl:snoRNA small nucleolar RNA, C/D box 38A
CUUCUUAUGAUGAAAACUGUGUCCAGUUCUGCUACUGAAGGGAAACAGAUGAAAGCCUUAAGUGCUGAGGAAG